rnacentral:rRNA from 1 species
UACAGAGGGUGCGAGCGUUAAUCGGAAUUACUGGGCGUAAAGCGUGCGCAGGCGGUUCGUUGUGUCGGUGGUGAAAGCCCCGGGCUUAACCUGGGAAUGGCCAUGGAAACUGGCGAACUGGAGUGUGGCAGAGGGGGGUGGAAUUCCGCGUGUAGCAGUGAAAUGCGUAGAGAUGCGGAGGAACACCGAUGGCGAAGGCAGCCCCCUGAGCUAACACUGACGCUCAGGCACGAAAGCGUGGGGAGCAAACAGG